rnacentral:rRNA from 1 species
CAGCACGGGUCUUGCACCCUGGUGGCGAGUGGCGACCGGGUGGGUAAUACAUCGGAACAUGUCCUGUAGUGGGGAUAGCCCGGCGAAGGCCGGAUUAAUACCGCAUACGAUCUACGGAUGAAAGCGGGGGACCUUCGGGCCUCGCGCUAUAGGGUUGGCCGAUGGCUGAUUAGCUAGUUGGUGGGGUAAAGGCCUACCAAGGCGACGAUCAGUAGCUGGUCUGAGAGGCGACCAAGCCACACUGGGACUGAGACCGGCCCAGACUCCUACGGGAGGCAGCAGUGGGGAAUUUUGGACAAUGGGCGAAGGCCUGAUCCAGCAAUGCCGCGUGUGUGAAGAAGGCCUUCGGGUUGUAAAGCACUUUUGGCCGGAAAGAAAUCCUUGGUUCUAAUAUAGCCGGGGGAUGACGGU